rnacentral:rRNA from 1 species
GACGAACGCUGGCGGCGUGCUUAACACAUGCAAGUCGAACGGAAAGGCUCCAGCUUGCUGGAGUCCUCGAGUGGCGAACGGGUGAGUAACACAUGGGUAAUCUGCCCUGCACUCUGGGAUAAGCCUGGGAAACUGGGUCUAAUACUGGAUAUGACCUUUCUCCUUAUGGGGUUUGGUGGAAAGUUUUUCGGUGUAGGAUGAGCCCGCGGCCUAUCAGCUUGUUGGUGGGGUGAUGGCCUACCAAGGCGACGACGGGUAGCCGGCCUGAGAGGGUGAUCGGCCACAUUGGGACUGAGAUACGGCCCAGACUCCUACGGGAGGCAGCAGUGGGGAAUAUUGCACAAUGGGCGGAAGCCUGAUGCAGCGACGCCGCGUGAGGGAUGACGGCCUUCGGGUUGUAAACCUCUUUCAGCAGGGACGAAGCGUAAGUGACGGUACCUGCAGAAGAAGCACCGGCUAACUAUGUG